rnacentral:rRNA from 1 species
GACGAACGCUGGCGGCGCGCUUAACACAUGCAAGUCGAGCGAGAACCUGGGCUUCGGCCCUGGGGACAGCGGCGAACGGGUGAGUAACACGUGGGUAAUCUGCCCUUGACAUCGGGAUAGCCCGGGGAAACCAGGAUUAAUACCGAAUAGCCUCCGGAGCCUUCGGGCGCCGGAGAAAAGGUAGCUUCGGCCUCUGGUCGAGGAUGAGCCCGCGGCGGAUUAGCUGGUUGGCGGGGUAACGGCCCACCAAGGCGACGAUCCGUAGCUGGUCUGAGAGGACGAUCAGCCACACUGGGACUGAGACACGGCCCAGACUCCUACGGGAGGCAGCAGUGGGGAAUCUUGCGCCAAUGCGGGAAACCGUGACGCAGCGACGCCGCGUGGGGGAAGAAGGCCUUCGGGUUGUAAACCUCUUUCAGGAGGGACGAAGCCACUCGGGUGAAUAGCCCAGAGGGUGACGGUACCUCCAGAAGAAGCCCCGGCUAACUACGUGCCAGCAGCCGCCGUAA